rnacentral:lncRNA from 1 species
UAAUAUUAUAGUACAAUAUUUUGUCAUCAUGAGAAGAAAAUAUUUAUAAAAUAUUAUUAGUCAAAUAAUCAAGCACAAAAAUAUAUUAUCAUUUCGCAAAUGUUGUAUGGGAAGCAAUCUACAUAAUAAGUGUAUGAUGUACUUCACUUGUGUCGUAAGCUAUCCACUAUGAUAUUUUGUGUGAUCUACAAUAUUUGUUGUGACAACCACCAACUAUAAUAUAGGGGCUAGGGUUUAAAGCUUUCACGAAAUCUAUUCCCUUGAAAUAUUUCAUUAAUGUGAAAAAUAAAAAUUUUAAAAAAAUGUCGUAUCAUAUAUAUCUCAAAGCUUGCAGUCAUAAAUAUUUACAGCAAGAGAAAAUCGUAUAAAGUCACUUUAUAUUGUAUCGGAUACUAAUAAAUAAAAGUCAAAAUGCACCGUAACUGAUCAGUGAUUUACUAUAGGUAACCGAUAUUAGUAUUAUACCGUGUGUACCUGAUUUGCAACCAUGAUCAUAAUCAUAAUUUAUUACUUUGUUGAAAUAGUUCACAAAGAGUGAACUUUUCAACUUUGAAAUAUUUCAAAUUCAGAUCCCUAAUAAGGGCGACAUCCGCGGGCGGACAAACUGGAUCGCACACUCAGCAAAUUUAAUGUCAAUAGUGUUGUAUUACGAAACAAAAAUGUUUCCUCUGACACGUCAGUGGAGCUUCCCUUUGCGUGAAAGGGCAGAUGGGAAAAAACAAUGGCCGAGAGACGCGUCAAAGGAUUUACAACUAUUGAUCGAUAUGACUAGUAAUAUAAUUUAUAAAUUAUAUUUUUUUUUGUUUUUUUACGUAACAUGCUUUUUAAUAAAUUAAUAUUCAAUAGAGUUUACCACAAACAUUUUUCUAUAAAUUAUACCUGGGUAUUUGUAAUUUUUUUUCGGGAGAUCGCUUACGACACCGUUACCUAAGAGUCUAAUUGUUUUGUUUUGUUUUAUUUCAAUAUUCAUAUUAUAAGACGGCGAAAUAAUAAAACACACAAAAUCGAAGUUCGACGCGAAUACAAUGCUCGGUAAACACUGUUUAAUUAAUGCUAUUCGUGGCACAGCAUUUUAAAUUUGUUUACAUAAAGUUUAAAACUAAGUCCUACAACAGAAUAAGUAAUGAGUGGUAUUUGACUUAAAGUGCAGCUUUUACACUUCUAUAUUGAAUUCAAACGUGACUUGCCUAUAGUUAAAAUACACUGACAACGAAUGCAGACUGAGUGCAAAAUGAUCUAUAAAACUUGUGUGCCUAAAACUCGAAAAUGUUCAAAAAAAAUUCCGCUCAGUUUGUGAGGUAUAAGAAAAAAAAAAUUAAAUUAAAUUAAAAAGUAAAUUAUUUUCCAAAAUAUUCGUACUUACGUACUGUUUUUUUACUGACUAUUCAAACAGACUAAAUCGAUCUAGUUCGUCCGUCACUGUACGCUGAUGAUGUUGAAACAAUAUUCAAAUAAAAUUAUACGACCGAAAAUAAUAUGAAAUGUUCUCAAUUGAUGUUAUCAUUGGAAUAUUUUAUAAUAAUAAAUAAUUUCACAAUGAAAAUAUUAUGAUGUCGGCUCGGAAGAUCGGAAAAAGGUAAGCUCUGUUGGGUACAUCCUCUCUUACAGUACUUAUCGAUAAUCGCAUUUAUUUUAAUCCUCAUUUCGCUGCGAUCGUAUUUAUUUUGUAAAGACUCGAAACACUCGAAACCACGUUAUAAACCGUACUACCCGAUAUUUCUAAGGAUCAACCGUUCCCCUUCGACUACAACCACGGUCGACAUGUCGUCAUUAAAGAUGUCCGCAAAUGAAAAUCAGUUAAUUCUCGAAGGAUGUAAUAUUGUUCCGCGGCUAAUCAAAACUGACUGUUUAUUGUGUAUUAUAAUAACGAUACGAAUACAAACGAUAUAAAUAUUAAAAAGGGUGGACAAGUGGGUACCGCCCUUCUGGUAUCGAUACAACUUUCGAGGAACGUUGUAUUACAAUUUCAAACCCACUGAAAACGUUUAUAUCGACAUUAUUAAUCAUAAAAAUAUUUAUAAGAUUCUAUAAUCUCUCGUGGAUAUAAUUAUUAUUAUUAAAUAGGUCAAAAAAGUAUAAAUCUUUUAGACAUUUUUUGCUACUUAGUUUUUGAGUUCCACCGAAAAACGUAAAAUCAGUUUUGUCAACAAUUGGACUCGUGUAAAAAUUACCAAUUUCUCUUCAUUUUUUUUUUUUUUUAUUAUCCCGACGAUUUUAGAAACUAAUGGGACUUCAAUGCGGACGUCAAAAAUUCAAGGGUUCUUAUCGCUUCAAAGGUCGAAUGACAGAAUGCAAAAAAAAAUUCAAAAAAAAAAUGUAAGUACGCGAUAUCAUUGUAAAACCAAUACAGGUUUACCAGAGACGCUCAGAAUCCAAAAUAUCAUAAAAUUUCAACUGUAGGUAUGUAUCUAACUAUUUAACUUCAUGAAAAUUUAUAGCACGAAAUAAAAAAAUAAAAUAUAA